rnacentral:piRNA from 1 species
UAACUCUUGCUUCCUAUUUUUGUUGUGGAGU